ensembl:snRNA U6 U6 spliceosomal RNA
GUGCUCGCUUUGGCAGCACAUAUACUAAAAGUUGGAAUGAUACAGAGAAGAUGAGCACGGCCCCCACGCAAGGAUGACACGCUAAUUCGUGAAGCGCUCCAUAUAUAA